rnacentral:rRNA from 1 species
UACGUAGGGUGCGAGCGUUGUCCGGAAUUAUUUGGGCGUAAAGAGCUUGUAGGCGGUUUUGUCGCGUCUGCUGUGAAAAUCCGGGGCUCAACCCCGGACUUGCAGUGGGUACGGGCAGACUAGAGUGUGGUAGGGGGAGACUGGAAUUCCUGGUGUAGCGGUGGAAUGCGCAGAUAUCAGGAGGAACACCGAUGGCGAAGGCAGGUCUCUGGGCCACUACUGACGCUGAGAAGCGAAAGCAUGGGGGAGCGAACAGG